rnacentral:piRNA from 1 species
UNCACAUUAGGUGUGGUGACUGUCAUAUGG